CAAGACUGGUCCUAACUGCCUAAACUGCAUUUCUCCAACACCAGUCCCUAACUCAUCCCUACUUCUUCCCUAACUGCUUCAAACUCAGACUCUAACUGCUCUUUAACUGUCAUCCAUUCUCUUAUAUAUCCCUAGUCCCGCCUUUUCUGUACAGCCAUUGGCUCCUGAAUCAGGGUUCCAUUGUGAUGGACAGGAGUGGUUACUGACCUGUCUGUCACAUCAAGGAUAGUGAUAAUUGAGGUUGUCCAUCACACUGUUUGCUUUUUCGGUGAAAACACCUUCCCUGUCAAAAGGUUUGAUUUUAUCCAUGGAUGUGAUCUGAGUAUCAGGAUCUAGGGAUGUACCAAAGAUGAUGAAAUAGGAUUAACUGAGGAGGAAAACUCAAAGAAAAAGUGACAUUCAACAUGAAGUACUAGCUAUUCUUUCGAUUCUUGAAAGCACAGUUAAUCUUAAUUGUCCUGUGCCUGAAGUCUAAUACUGAAAGGGACAGUGCUGACCCUGGUGAACCCUCUCCUCUGCAAAAGCAGCUUACAAGUUCCCUUUUUGGCACUGCAGUUGGAGAAAUAUGGCAGAAUCAUGGAGCCAGUUGACAUGGGAGUUAAGAAUCCUUUACGAAAUUAGAAAAAGGAUUAUUGCAGAGCAAGAAAACUGAAUUACACCAGUGAAGGUUAUUUACACAUCUUGCCUUUGAAAACAUGGCAACCCUCGUGAAUCACAUCCAAGAAAACACCACCCUGAUAAUAAACUCCCUUUGACUAUGAGAAAAAAAUAGUUAACACUACAUUCUUUCUUCAUAUGUUACUUUUCUCUCAGCGAUGGGGCAAAUGUAUUUUUAUUCUCUCCAAGUACACAUCAGAUGUGCUUCAAAAGCCCCAGAGAAUCUUUCUAAAUCAGAGGUGGAAUCAUGAUUCUCAGCAACCCAAAUUCUUUAUAACAAGUCCCUGAGAAUAAGGUCAAAAGUAUAAAGUAUGGGAAAAAAUGACAGACUCCUAUAAGUUGCUCUUUCUAAUAGCUAAUUUAGCUGGUGAGUGCUGACAGGAUGAUAGCUGAACAUGGCUACUGAUAGACAAGAGGACGGAAUCAUCCGCAGACUGAUGGGAAUCCAAGGUUUGCUGAAGUUUAACAUCCAAAAAAGAGGGAGGGGACAAUCUCCACAUGUAAAGCAACCUAAUGAAGAUGGAGCAUGCUCAGUAGCUGCAGGCUGUGGAAUGACAGAGAGAAAGAAAAUGAAACAUGGAAAAGCCAGUGUGGAGUUGGGGAUAGUGAGUGCAAAUGUCUUGUUUAAAUGGAAUUAAUGGCUGAAACAAGAAUACUCAUUUUAGGAAAAAGGCUGUAGUGCAUUUCAAUAGUUUGUUACCUGUCACACUCCUAUUACACUAACAUCUGUCUCAGUUAUCUGAAGUCAGCUUGUAACAAUAUGAAGGCACUGAAUAUCUGGUGUCAUAGGUGAAAAUGUCAAUAGUUGUUUAUCUGCA